rnacentral:rRNA from 1 species
CCUACGGGAGGCAGCAGUGGGGGAUAUUGCACAAUGGGGGAAACCCUGAUGCAGCGACGCCGCGUGCGCGAAGAAGUCUUUCUGUAUUUUAAGCUCUAUUAGUACGGACGAAGAAAUGACGGUACCUGAGUAAGAAGCACCGGCUAACUACGUGCCAGCAGCCGAGGUCAUACGUAGGGUGCAAGCGUUAUCCGGAUUUACUGGGUGUAACGGGAGCGCAGGCGGUCCGACAAGCCUGAUGUGAAAGCCCGCGUCUCAACGGCGGAACUGCAUUUGGCACUGCCCGGCUGGAGUGUAGGUGCGGUAGGCGGAAUGCAUGGUGUAGCGGUGAAAUGCGUAGAUAUUAGAAAGAACACCGAUUGCGAAGGCAGCCUACUGGACGGUGACUGACGCUGAGGCACGAAAGCGUGGGGAGCAAACAGGAUUAGAUACCCGUGUAGUC